rnacentral:rRNA from 1 species
CAGUAGCCGCGGGAAUACGUAAGGGGCGAGCGUUGUUCGGAAUUAUUGGGCGUAAAGGGCAUGUAGGCGGCUAUGUAAGCCUGAUGUGAAAUCCUGGGGCUUAACCCUAGAAUAGCAUUGGGUACUGUAUAGCUUGAAUUACGGAAGGGAAACUGGAAUUCCAAGUGUAGGGGUGGAAUCUGUAGAUAUUUGGAAGAACACCGGUGGCGAAGGCGGGUUUCUGGCCGAUAAUUGACGCUGAGAUGCGAAAGUGUGGGGAUCGAACAGGAUUAGAUACCCGCGUAGUCCCUGUCUCUUAUAC